GCCACGGCUUUAAUCCUACUAAUAUUGCUCAGUAAUUUAAAGGCUCAUGUGGUCAGAAAAAGAGAGAUAUACAGUAAAGAGAUUCAAAGACAAAGAAAAUGUUUAAAUGAUUUACAGUGUUAAAAAUGUAUGCAGACUAAAAGUUAAAAUUCUUAAAAAAAAGUAAGAAAAAGAGAAGUUGUGUGUGGUAGUACACGCCUUUAAUCCCAACACUUGGGAGGCAGAGGGAGAUUGACCUCUGUGACUUCAAGGUGUGGUAGCAAACACCUUUAAUCCCAAUGCCUGGGAGGCAGAGACAGGCGGAUCUCUGAGAGUUCAAGGAGAGCCUGGUCUACAGAGUUAUUCCAGGUCAAAGAGAUACAGAGAAUAUAAAAUAAAAGUAAAAAUAAACGAAAUAGAGGUUAAAAUAAAGCGUACAAAGAUGGAAAAUACACAGAGAAUCUUGAUACUGUAUACUAUUAUGCUCUCUUUGAAUUGUUUGAAUGCUGAGGAAGGAGCAACAGCUGCUAAAAGAUAUUUGUUUAUAAAUGCUGCUGAACUAAUCCAUCGUAGAGAUUUUGAUGCCUUGACUUUGAAAUUUGGAUCUAAGGACAUGAUGCUUUCGAAAGGAGUUUCCUAUUUUGUUUUCACAGAGGAUGAGACCCUGUUCAUUUCUUCUAUUCCGAUAUGGUAUGAUGGACCACGCCCUCCUGAACGGUUGCUGUGAAUACCUUCAGAAAAUUGCUUCGCUCAACUGCCAACUGAGAUGAAACUAGCACACAGGUUAUACCAUGAAAGACCUAAUUAACGACGCCCCCAUUCAGCAGGAAGCAGUUUGGAGAGAAAAAACUGCGCCCAUAUUCCCAAAUAUUGUUUAUAAAUGUUCUUUUACAUUUAAAGGGGGAGAUGAUAUAGGUAUGAAUAAUUUACAUUGAUAUGGAUUUUGCUUUAGUGAUUUAAAUUUAAGGUUAAUUUUGUAAUGUAUAUAGGUUGUUAAUGAAUAAUCAUUAAUAAUAGUUAAGUUUGUAGUCAUGUUAGUUAAGAUUUUCUAGAUGUGCAUAGAUAUAUUUUAGAUAGGCAUUCUUCAUAUUUUUCAAAGAUUAUAGAAUAUGGCAUUUUAAAUGUUUUAAUAACUUAGGACUUUUCAUGACAAUGAGACACUCUGCUCCUGGCAGCACCAAUCUAC